AUGGCGACCCCAAAUACUCCUAAGCUAAAAUUUAAUGAUUUUCUAGACCAAAAGAUGGAAGACAGGUCAGGGGGAAAAGAACAGUGGAAGUCUAUAAAGAAGGUUUGGGAGGGGUUGAAGUUGAAAUGGACACAGGCAGGUUAUCUAGGAGGGGGGCCACCAAACAGGAUCCAGCUAAGUACUAUGGAAUGUGGGUUAAGAGAGACACUGCAGGAAGCCAGGGACAAAGAGGUAGAGAUGAACAAAAUGCAUGUGUUCAGAAAAGAAGGGACCAAACAAAGAGAGAGAGCAGAAGCUGAAUUAAAAGUAGGCACUUGGGCCGUUGAAGAGACCCGGAGAGUACAACUGAACAAAAAAACGGAAAUGAUGGGGGUAGCCACCAGUCAGGAAGAAGGGGCGUCAAUGGAAGCUACGCAGGGCAGCGUCGGCCCUCUCUCGACUCCACCUACUGCUCCGCAGCUCUACCCAACCCUGCCUCCUCCAUACUCCCCUGUGGUGGACACUGUCACUGCACCUAACAUACAGGCACCAGUCUUUGUAGUGCAGGGGGGCAAACUCCAUGGGAAGAUCCAAGUGGAUGUAGAAGGGGGCCAUCUGGUCUGUGAUGACAACCCGACUCCUAACCACCAAUCCACUCCAGGGGAGCCUGAAGGAAGUCGAUCUUACCCAAUGGGAAGCCACGAACCAAGGUCACUGCGCCCGCCUCCCGUUCAGUGCGAUCUCCAACCAUCGAAUCAAUCACGGCCUGGCAACUCACUGACCUCCCACUCCCUGCAAUCUAGAGGGGGAGCCCAGGGUGGGCUCUCAUCCUACCAAGGACAAUCAGCAAGAGAAAACAGUCUGAGAAGAGAACAUGAGGGAGCUGUGGGGGGAGAGGAGCUGAGAAGGGAGUACAUCUGCUCGAUCAACCAACCUGUGGAGCAGGGAGAAGAAGAUGGCGGACCGAUUUGCUCCACGGAUGUCUGGGGACUAUCCCGUCAACUCGAAAUCCUGGCAGAAGCAGACGAUGAAGACGGGAGUUCACUCUUGCUGGAAGGGGUGUUCAAGGGUAAAUCAACCAACCUGAGGGAAGCCGAAAGGAGAUCAAACCGACUCAUUGCGAUGCGUAUCAGGGAGAAGAGAUGCGGGAAAGUGAGAGAAGGAGAAAGAAGGUGGACCGAUAUGCGCAUGAAAUGUACACAGCUGCUCAGAUGCCUCUCAGACUGA
rnacentral:lncRNA from 13 species